UGAACCUGACAUUAUAAUUUAAUAGGGUAGAGGGUACUCAGUUCAUUUUUUUGAAUCCAAAGAAUAAAAACUCUCAUUAUCCUUUGUCAUGAUACCUAGAAAGGGACACAUCAACCCUAAUAUACGUGCAGGCCAGUUUUCUUUAUAUAUAUCUGCACUCUCUCUUACAUUUCAUGGCACUACUCAAAGUGAAGGUGAAAUCUGAAAGACUCUCUAUCUAGUUCUUCAUUAUCCCUGUGCUCUUUGUCAUGGCACUUCAAGUUGAAGGUUACAAGAUUGAAGAACAAAUCGAAGUGUGGUAAAUGUUAUGGCGAUAUCUCUCCUGAGCUUAUUCUUCUUACAUUCUUCUUUUAUCUUUUUUAACUUUAUGAAUAAUGUUUAAGUUUUCUUGACCUUGCAAGUCCAAAACUUUAAUAAUCAAGGGUCAAUAUUACUUAACAUGUCUAAAGAAAGAAGAUAACAUGUAAUAGUUUUGUUAAACUACUUAAGAAGCUAAAUAUCAUGUACUAUCCUUCCUCUAGAGCUUCAUAGUUUAUUUACAUCUAAUGUGUCAUUGGUAAAAGAAAUGUAUUCAGGUUUUCAAAGCUUGAUGCUCCUACUGUAUGCAAUGGAUUAUGCCUUAUGAAUUUGUUUCUUUUAGAAGCCUUACAAAUAUAUAUUUUUAAUCAUUUUAUCCUUAACUCGGAUUGAAUAUGAUGUCUGCUAGAAGGAGAGGGUGCAUUACCACCAUUCACUGUGAACUAACUCACUGAAGUUUAUUAUUCUCACUGAUUUUGAGAUGUGCUGAGAGUUUUUGCUACUUGCAACAUCCCACUAAUUUUGGAGACUUCAGAUCCUCUACUAUCAGAUAGAAAUGAGGACAUGUGAAAUAAAUAAGCUGGAAUAAGCUGAUUUCUGUAAAGUCGGAAAUAGAUUUUCUGUGGUGUCUAGGAGUUAGCUUAUAAUCUCUUUUCAAGCAUUUAAAACAAAAUUUCGUGAAGUAAUUCUUAUGGGUUGACUUCUAUCCAUCCAUUUUAAUUCAAAGAAUGUCACUAGUUAAGCAUUUAGCCAACAACUUGCUCAUUGUAAUGCUUUCACUGGUUAUAGCUUAUAAUCUCUCAUUGUAAUGCUUUUUGGGAAGUCUGUAUUACCUACUAUGCUUGUUGUGUGUCUAAGUUGUUAUUAUUGUGUCUCAUGUCCAGAAUCUUCAGGCUUAUGCUUUGUUUUAGUUAUGCAUUUGCUUGGAACUAUAUUUUUAAUUUAAGUUUAU